AGUGAACGCUGGCGGUAGGCCUAACACAUGCAAGUCGAACGGCAGCACAGUAAGAGCUUGCUCUUACGGGUGGCGAGUGGCGGACGGGUGAGGAAUACAUCGGAAUCUACUUUUUCGUGGGGGAUACGUAGGGAAACUUACGCUAAUACCGCAUACGACCUACGGGUGAAAGCAGGGGAUUUUCGGACCUUGCGCGAUUGAAUGAGCCGAUGUCGGAUUAGCUAGUUGGCGGGGUAAAGUCCCACCAAGGCGACGAGCCGUAGCUGGACUGAGAGGAUGAUCAGCCACACUGGAACUGAGACACGGUCCAGACUCCUACGGGAGGCAGCAGUGGGGAAUAUUGGACAAUGGGCGCAAGCCUGGUCCAGCCAUACCGCGUGGGUGAAGAAGGCCUUCGGGUUGUAAAGCCCUUCUGUUGGGAAAGAAAAGCAGCAGGUUAAUACCCCGCUGUUCUGACGGUACCCAAAGAAUAAGCACCGGCUAACUUCGUG
rnacentral:rRNA from 1 species